AAAUUGAAGAGUUUGAUCAUGGCUCAGAUUGAACGCUGGCGGCAGGCCUAACACAUGCAAGUCGAGCGGAAACGAGUUAUCAGAACCUUCGGGGGACGAUAACGGCGUCGAGCGGCGGACGGGUGAGUAAUGCCUAGGAAAUUGCCCUGAUGUGGGGGAUAACCAUUGGAAACGAUGGCUAAUACCGCAUGAUGCCUACGGGCCAAAGAGGGGGACCUUCGGGCCUCUCGCGUCAGGAUAUGCCUAGGUGGGAUUAGCUAGUUGGUGAGGUAA
rnacentral:rRNA from 1 species